rfam:Sporomusa sp. An4 isolate Sporomusa ovata strain An4 genome assembly, contig: SPAN4DRAFT_scaffold-6
UUUAUGAAUAAUAUGCGGCUGUAGACAGCAGGUUUAUGUAAAAGUUUGAUGAAACUUUCCUGCCGAGGCCGGAGAAUUGCAAGAUAUAACUACUAACUAGUUAUUAUGCGGCCUCCGGUGUUUACACCGUGGGUCGCUUUUUGGUUUCAAGA